GAUGAACGCUGGCGGCGUGCCUAAUACAUGCAAGUCGAGCGAAUGGAUUAAGAGCUUGCUCUUAUGAAGUUAGCGGCGGACGGGUGAGUAACACGUGGGUACCCUGCCCAUAAGACUGGGAUAACUCCGGGAAACAGGGGCUAAUACCGGAUACCAUUUUGUACCGCCUGGUUCGAAAUGGAAAGGCGGCUUCGGCUGUUAUUUAUGGAUGGACCGGCGUCGCAUUAGCUAGUUGGUGAGGUAACGGCUCACCAAGGAAACGCUGCGUAGCCGACUUGAGAGGGUGAUCGGCCACACUGGGACUGGGACACGGCCCAGACUCCUACGGGAGGCAGCAGUAGGGAAUCUUCCGCAAUGGACGAAAGUCUGACGGAGCAACGCCGCGUGGGUGAUGAAGGCUUUCGGGUCGUAAAACUCUGUUGUUAGGGAAGAACAAGUGCUAGUUGAAUAAGCUGGCACCUUGACGGUACCUAACCAGAAAGCCACGGCUAACUACGUGCCAGCAGCCGCCGCAG
rnacentral:rRNA from 1 species